rfam:Zea mays cultivar B73 chromosome 6, whole genome shotgun sequence.
UAACAAAUUAUGAUCAUACUUGGAUUCCCAUUCAAGACAUCAAUUGGAUGAUGCAGAUUCGAGUUUCUGAUGCC